CGCGUAGGUGGUUUUUUAAGUCGGAUGUGAAAUCCCCGGGCUUAACCUGGGAACUGCACCCGAUACUGGACGACUAGAGUGCGAGAGAGGGAGGUAGAAUUCCACGUGUAGCGGUGAAAUGCGUAGAUAUGUGGAGGAAUACCGGUGGCGAAGGCGGCCUCCUGGCUCGACACUGACGCUGAGGUGCGAAAGCGUGGGGAGCAGACA
rnacentral:rRNA from 1 species